CCCUACGGGGGGCAGCAGUGAGGAAUAUUGGUCAAUGGCCGGAAGGCUGAACCAGCCAAGCCGCGUGAGGGAGGAAGGCGCAGAGCGUCGCAGACCUCCUUUGCCGGGGGACAAAAGGCCGGACGGGUCCGGUUCUGAGGGUACCCGGAGAAAAGGCAUCGGCUAACUCCGUGCCAGCAGCCGCGGUAAUACGGAGGAUGCGAGCGUUAUCCGGAUUCAUUUGGUUUAAAGGGUGCGCAGGCGGGCCUUUAAGCCGGCGGUGAAAUCGCGGGGCUCAACCCCGCCCAGCC
rnacentral:rRNA from 1 species